UGGGGAAUAUUGCACAAUGGGCGCAAGCCUGAUGCAGCAACGCCGCGUGAGGGACGACGGCCUUCGGGUUGUAAACCUCUUUUGGCAGGGAAGAAGCGAAAGUGACGGUACCAGAUGAAUAAGCACCGGCUAACUCCGUGCCAGCAGCCGCGGUAAUACGGAGGGUGCAAGCGUUAUCCGGAUUCACUGGGUUUAAAGGGUGCGUAGGCGGAUAGGUAAGUACGUGGUGAAAUCUCUCGACUUAAUCGGGAAACUGCCAUGGAUACUAUUUAGCUUGAAUGUUGUGGAGGUUAACGGAAUAUGUCAUGUAGCGGUGAAAUGCUUAGAUAUGACAUGGAACACCAAUUGCGAAGGCAGUUAACUACACAAAUAUUGACGCUGAUGCACGAAAGCGUGGGGAUCAAACA
rnacentral:rRNA from 1 species